rnacentral:piRNA from 1 species
GGAACGAGAAGACACUCAUGUAGGAGUCGGC